UGCUCGAUAAUACAGAAUCGGAAAAAGAUAAGAGACGUCCUACUUGGACAGAAUUCUGACCAAGUAUACUAACCCAAAAGAUAAAAGGGACAGAACCUGCAUCCCCCUACAUCUUCUACAGACAGUACAAUAAAUAAGUUAAAUAUCGCUGGAAAAUACAAGUUUUUAUCAUUCAAGAACAUAAAGUAAAGUUACUUAUAUCGGAAUAGAGUUUGACACAGAAGGAUAAACCACGGUGGCGGGAUGAGCCAUAAUACGGCGGCCCUUCAUGUGUCGAAAGCAAUACACCAAAGCCCCCACCGGCCACUCCACCAGUGCCGCCACCGCAAAUGCCAAGAACCCCAGCGUCGGCCCCACCACCUUGCACCUGCAAGGGUUGCUGGCCGUGCCACACUCCACACAAAUAGGAACACCAAUUGCCAUUACGAUAAUGAAUAUGCUAACCGUUUUUAUUUCGGCUGUUAUAUGAGAUUUUUGAAGAGAAAUUAGCGACGUUUUAUAGGGUUUUUUUUUUAAUGGAAUAUCGGGACAAUGGAAAUCGG
rnacentral:lncRNA from 1 species